ACCCUUCCAGGACGCGGCCUCCUCGCUUCUUAAAAUGUCUGAGCUCUACGAAGUGGAACUGUUAGCCCUCCGUUUAUUGCCUUACUUCACACUGAAAUAAGCCAACGUUUAUUUUAUUUUAUUUAUUUUAUUAUUUAUUUUAUUAUUUUUUUUCGAGACGGAGUCUCGCUCUGUCCCAGGCUGGAGUGCCGUGGCGGGAUCUCGACUCACUGCAACCUCCGCCUCCGUGUUCAAGCUAUUCUACCUCAGCCUCCCGAGUAGCUGGGAUUACAGGUGCCCGCCACCACGCCCGGCUAAUUUUUGUAUUUUUAGUAGAGAUGGGGUUUCACCAUGUUGGCCAGGCUGAUCUCGAACUGCUGACCUUGUGAUCCUCCCGCCUCAGCCUCCCAAAGUGUUGGGAUUACAGGCGUGAGCCACCGCGCCCGGCCCCCAACGUUUCUUUUUAAGCCUGUCAUAUCUCACAUUAAAUGUGUAAGUCUCUGAACUGUAGGGCUUUGAACAAAGGAAAGUUCCAUGAGAAUACUAUAUGAUGCCAAUUUCUACUGUUAGGAACGCGAUAACAGGUAAGAAAACAAAAACCAAAACGCAACAGAAGACCCGUAAACCCCAUAAUUCCACCAUCCAAUAAACACAACACACAAUGCGUUUUUUCGUUUCUUUUUUGAGUCAGGGUCUCAUUGUGUCGCCCAGGCUGGAAUGCAGUGGUGUGAUCUCGGCUCACUGCACCCUUGACCUCCCACCUCAGCCUCCCAGGUAGCUGGGCCCACAGGCCCGCACCACCACUCCUGGCUAGUUUUUAAACUUUUUGCAGAGACGGAAGUCUUCAUUAUAUUGCUCAGGCUGCUUUUGAUCUCCUGCUAACUCCAGAGAUCCUCCUGCCUUGGCCUCUCAAAGUGUUGGGAUUACAGGCAUGAGCCACCACACCUGGCCAUUAUGUUGAAGGACCACCAAAUACAUAAUGUAUAAUCUAUUUAUAUGAGAUUCAAGAAUAGGACAAAUAAAAUCUAUGCUGAUAAAAACUAACAGAGCUUACCUGUGGAGAAGGAUGUUUGGUCCAGACACAAGAGAACUUCCUGGGUGAUAGAAUUAUUCUGUAUCUUGAUUGGGACCUGGUUACAUAGAUGUGUAAAUUUGUUAAGUCAUGCUACUUUGUAUUUCUAAACUCAUGGAACCAUUAUUUACAGAUAUCACCCAGGCUGGAGUGCAGUGGCCGGGUCUUGGCUCACUGCAACCUCUGCUUCCUGGAUUCAAGCGGUUCUCCUGCCUCAGCCUCCCAAGUAGCUGGGAUUACAGGCACACGCCACCACGCCCAGAUAAUGUUUGUAUUUUUAGUAGAGAUGGAGUUUCACCACGUUGGCUAGGCUGGCCUUGAACUCCUGAGCUCAAGGAUCUGCCUGCCUGGGCCGCCCAAAGUGCUGGGAUUACAGGCAUGAGCCACCACACCAGCCAAAAAUGCUCUAUAUCUUGAUUGAAGCAGUGAUUAUACGUGUAUACAAUUAUCAAAACUCAUGAAAUUUUAUACCUACUAUCUUUGCGUUGUACUCUAUGUAAACUAUAGGUAAUAGACAAAGCCAUGUAAUGAAAAAAAUCCAACUUAAAAAAUACAAGUAGUAAUAAAUUUAUUUGUACCAUUAAAAAGGAGGGUGUGAGGAUUUUGUUGUUGUUGUUGGGGGAGACAGGGUCUUGCUCUGUCACUCAAGCUGGAGUGCAGUGGCACAAACAGCUCACUGCAGCCUCAAAUUCCCAGGCUCAAGCCAUUCUCCCACCUUGGCCUCCCAAAGUGCUGGGAUUACAGGUGUGAGCCACUGAGCCAGGCCCACUUCUGUUUUUUUUUUGUUGUUGUUGUUACAGAGACAGGGCCUUGCCCUGUCACCCAGGCUGGAGUACAAUGAUGUGAUCAUAGCUUACUGUAACUUCAAACUCCUGGCCUCAAGUGAUCCUCCUGCCUUGGCCUCCCAAAAGCACUGGGAUUAUAGGUGUGAGCCACCACACCUGGUUCUUAACACACGUUAACAGGGCAGCUUUCUCUGCAGUACCCCCCUGCUGCCAGCUAGGAAUUCAGUGGUGAUUAAGUUAGAUAUACUCACUACCCUUACUGGACUUCAAAUAGAAGUGAGGACAUAUGUUUAACCAAGAGUCCCAAAAGCAGCAUGAGGCAAAUACACCCUUGUGGUUAAGAGUGUGGGCCCUGGAGCCAGACUGGGCCAAAUUACUAGACCUCUCUGUGCCUGCUUCUUUAUCUGUAAAAUAGGAAUCAACACCUUUGUUGUAAGGAGUGAAUGAGAGAAUCUAUGUAGACCUUCAGAGGUUGCCUAAGAUAAUGCUGAUUCAGGAAGUACAGGGCACUAUGGGAGAUUGUGAUGAAGGAACAUGCCUGGCAUGGUAGCUCACACCUGUAAUCCUAGCACCUUGAGAGGCCAAGGUGGGGGCGGAUCACCUGAGGUCAGGAGUUCGAGACCAGCCUGGCCAACAUGGUGAAACCCCCGUCUCUACUAAAAAUACAUAAAUUAGCCGGGUAUGGUGGCAGGCGCCUGUAAUCCCAGCUACUCGGGAGGCUGAGGCAGGAGAAUCGUUUGAACCCAGGAGGCGGAGGUUGCAGUGAGUCGAGAUCAUGCUGCUACACUCUAGCCUGGGCGACAGCGAGACUCAGACUCAAAAAAAAAAAAAAAAAAAAACCCUUCCCGAAGAAGUGAUUGUUACCUUGGGAACAGGAAGGAUUAGGAAAAAUGAGAUGGAAGGGAAGGACUGAGUGAAGAGGAAAGAGUUCCGUUGAGAGCCCGGGACUCGCAGCCCAGUGAUGGAAGAGCAGAGGCGGAACGAGGACUUUACUCACAAAGGGCGGGGGAUGCUUCUGCUCACAAGUUGUUUGGGGGCAACUUGGUGGAGCAACAAGACUCCCCCUCCAGGCUCCUCUUCCCACACAGGGUGUCCAGGUCUCCAGAGCUCUUUGCGGGAGAAGGACUUAAGGGGACAAGACUGGCCACAGAUGAUUUGCCUCUGGGUGGAGGAGGGGAGUGUCCUCUGCAGCAUCAGAGGACUCUAUUUUUAGCCGCCUCUCUCUUCCCUCAUGCCCAUGUUAGCAGGACUCCUAGAGGUGAACACUUUUCACCUCACCCUUAAGUCCUGGCAGUUUCUUUGAAUUUUUGUUUCUGCUUUAGAGUGCAGUGGGGGAGAAAAUACCGUCCUCAAGAUCUGAGAAACUGGAGAGGAAAAGUCACAGGACAACCAACUUCUCUAUGACAUAGCCCAGCAUCUGAGGAAAGUCCUGCAAUAGUGGAGGUGGAGCAGAGGGUAUGAGCUGGGAAGCAAAUGGAGCAGGUGAGUUAAGUAGGUGCCUGAUCUGGAGGGCCUCACAUGCCACUUAGGAAAAAUGUAAAUGAGUUGGGAGUCUUCAGCAGGAGUGGGGUAAUCACACUCAAAGGUGGCAGAGAUCUUACUGGCUGCUGUGAGACAAAGGAACUGCAGGAAAACCUCUGGGGGCAUACGCACCUGCUAGGAAGCUAGUGUAGUAGACCAGAUGACCACGGCAGUGCAGACCAGGGUGAAUUCAGGAAGUAUUAGAUUGAGGCUACACAGGGUGGCUGACACGUGUAAUCCCGGCACUUUGGGAGGCCAAGGCAGAAAGAUCACUUGAGGCCAGGAGUUUGAGACCACCCUGGGCAACAUAGUGAGACCCCUGUCUAUAAAAAACUAUAAAAUUAAAAAACAAACUCCAAAGUAUUAAAUUUUUUUUUCAGACAGAGUCUUGCUCUGUCGCCCAGGCUGGAGUGCAGUGGUGCGAUCUUGGCUCACUGCAACCUCCACCUCCCGGGUUCAAGCAAUUCUUGUGCCUCAGCCCCCCGAGUAGCUGGGAUUACAGGCAUGCGCCAUCAUGCCCAGCUAAUUUUUGUAUUUUUCAUAGAGAUGGGGUUUCACUAUGUUGGCCAGGCUGGUCUUGAGCCAGACUUCAGGUGAUCCACCCGCCUUGGCCUUCCAAAGUGCUGGGAUUAUAGGCAUGAGCCACUGCGCCCAGCCAAAAUUAUUAGAUUGAGCCAUAUAAAAGUGCUGCUGCUUAGGCCAAAAAUUGCCAAACUGUGGCAAUUUCAUUUGGUUUUACCAAAUAGAUGGUAGAAUUAUAGGCAUGAAGGAUGAAGGCUGGCCACAGAUACUUCAUAGCUUCCCCCACCAGGAGAUGAGGUUUAUUUCCCCACCAGUGGGAUCUGGGCUGGCCCUGUAGUUAGCCUUCACCCAAAAAUGUGAGAAAAGUGGCACUGGGAGAGUUCUGACCCCAGGCCUCAACAGACCUUGCAGCUUCUGCUCUUUCCUCUUAGAAAGAGCCCAGAGACCAGAUCACAAGGUCAGGAGUUCAAGACCACCCUGACCAACAUGAUGAAACCCCGUCUCUACUAAAAAUACAAAAAAUAAAAUAAAAUAGCUGGGCAUGGUGGUGGGCACCUGUAAUCCCAGCUACUAGGGAGGCUGAGGCAGGAGAAACACUUGAACUGGGGAGGCGGAGGUUGCAGUGAGCCGAGAUCGCGCCACUGCACUCCAGCCUGGGCGACAGAGCGAGACUCCGUCUGGAAAAAAAAAGAGAGAAGGAGCCCAGAGACCAUCCACCAUCCUGUGAAGACGAAAGUCACGUGGAGAGGCCUAGCAGCCAUAGCUGAGUCCAGAUACUAGCUGGGGGAAGACAGCUGCUUCAGCCAGCCUGGGAGAGACCAGCAGAGCUUUCCAGACAACUCAGAAUUGUGAGAAAGGCUGUUGUCUUAAGCCAUUGUUUUGGGGCAAUUUGCAACACAGCAGUGGAUAACUGAUAUAAAAGGACAGCAGGGCAGGGCAGGAAGAUUCAUGAUGAACCCCAGGCUUCUGGCUUGAGUAACAGGCUAUUGCAGUACCAUCUUGUGAGGGGAAGUUAGAGGAAAAGCUGAGAGCAGAGCUUGGGUUUUUUGAGUGCUUGGUAGUGGCAUAUGUUCAAUGUUGGACAUGAGGACGGGACUCAUAGAAGACACCCCAAGUGCAAGUGCCAUGUGUGCUUUCGUUUUCAUGACGCUGGAGCUCAAGGAUCAGGUCUUGGUAUAGAUUUGGGUGUCACCAGCAGACAAAUAAAGCCAUAGGAAUGAACAGUGUUGCCUCUGGCAGGGAAAGAGAACCCAGAAUAGAGCCAUGAGGAACAGGCCCAUUUAGGAGGUGAAUAAAGGAGAGGUCUGCCAAGAAGACUGAAGUGGUAGAGAGAAGACCAGGAAGCAAAGUGUGCGUCACUUUCCUCCCCAGAAGAGUGGCCAGAGAAAGAGACUGUUGAUAGAGUUAAAUGCUGCUGAGAAGGCAAAUAUAACAGGGAUUAAAAUGUAGCUUUUAAGCUGAGUGUGGUUGCAUGCAUCUGUAGCCACAGCUACUAGGGAGGCUGAGGCAGGAGGAUCACUUGAGCUUGGAGUUCAAGGCUGCAGUAAGCUGUGACUAUGCCACUGCACUCCAGCCUGGGCAACAAAGUGAGACCCCCCCCAUCUAAAAAAAAAGUGGUUUUCAGAUUUCGGACCUGUAAGUCAUCAGUGUCUUUCAUGAAGGCUAUUUCAGGGGAGUGAUGGAGCAAAAGUCAAGACUGCAGAGGGAUGAGGAAUGAGACUCUGCAUACAAGCAACCUUACAAGACUUUCUGCCAUUAGGAGACAGGCUGAAAGAUGAGGAAUAGAGGGUUGAAUUGUAAAGAGCG
rnacentral:lncRNA from 1 species